GGCGGAGGAAAAGAAACCAACAGGGAUUGCCCUAGUAACGGCGAGUGAAGCGGCAACAGCUCAAAUUUGAAAUCUGGCUCUUUCAGAGUCCGAGUUGUAAUUUGCAGAGGGCGCUUUGGCUUUGGCAGCGGUCCAAGUUCCUUGGAACAGGACGUCACAGAGGGUGAGAAUCCCGUACGUGGUCGCUAGCUAUUGCCGUGUAAAGCCCCUUCGACGAGUCGAGUUGUUUGGGAAUGCAGCUCUAAAUGGGAGGUAAAUUUCUUCUAAAGCUAAAUAUUGGCCAGAGACCGAUAGCGCACAAGUAGAGUGAUCGAAAGAUGAAAAGCACUUUGGAAAGAGAGUCAAACAGCACGUGAAAUUGUUGAAAGGGAAGCGCUUGCAGCCAGACUUGCUUGCAGUUGCUCAUCCGGGCUUUUGCCCGGUGCACUCUUCUGCAGGCAGGCCAGCAUCAGUUUGGGCGGUGGGAUAAAGGUCUCUGACACGUUCCUUCCUUCGGGUUGGCCAUAUAGGGGAGACGUCAUACCACCAGCCUGGACUGAGGUCCGCGCAUCUGCUAGGAUGCUGGCGUAAUGGCUGUAAGCGGCCCGUCUUGAACCCAAGGAC
rnacentral:rRNA from 1 species